AACAGCCCCACGGGCCUUGUCCCAUCGCAGGGGACAGGAGGCCUCAUGGCCAUGGGGUUCUCAGAGAGGCAAGGGGCAGCUCCAGCCCGUGGUGGCUCCAUGAGCAGCGCAGAAGCCGCCGUGGGUUUAUUGCUUGAUUCCAGCUUUGAAAUGGAACCGAGAGCGGAGCUGAGCACAGCCAGAUUAGAGAGCAUCACCAACCGCCUGGAAGAGCAGCUCGUGUGGCCCGAGAGGAACGCAAAGGACGAGGGAGCGGCGGCUCUUACCUUGGUCGGGCAGGGUGGGGGCCGGCCGGGCGGCGGAGAGCGCGGCUGCGACCAGCACAGCCCAAAGGAUGAGGCACCGCCAGCUUGGACAGCAGGAUGUCCCUGCAUCAAGGGAUGUCCCCACACUGCAGCGGCAGGUCCCCACAGACCCCUCAGCAGCCUGACGUGACCUGGCACUGACUGGCAGGGUUAUGUUUCCCUGUGUAAAAGCGCUGAUGUGUCAAGAGUGAAACCGCUGGCGAAGCAGAACCAAAUGCAGCAAGAUUUCCCCGAAUGGAGCACCGAGCUUUUUCAAGUCACGUUCCAGGGGGACGCUGGAGCCCGAACGCAGCCACCCCCGGCAAACCGCCCCGAGCCUUGCGGAUGGGAACAAGCCCCUGUUCUCCACCCCCGCGCACAGACACAUCUGCACCUCGGCAGCAGCCUGGGAUGAGGUCCGGCCGCCGAUGGCCCCGCUGGGCUCCGCCGAGCGCUGAUCCUGCCCAGCCAUUGCACAACGCGCACGGCCCCGGCCAGGGCGCCGCUGGCAGCGGGAGCUCUGCGGCCAGGACGGGGACAGGGCCAUCCCACACACCCUUCCCCAGGGCACCUCCCGGGGUACAGCUGUGCCUCCGGGCCCCGCAGCCCCUGUCGAGCAUCCCAAGCUCACCGGGCUCCUCUCCGCGCUGCCGCGUGCUGCGCCGUCCCCAAGCUGCCACGGGAACAGGCGCUUCCCUUCGCCCAAAGGCGUCAGGCUGAAGUACACACUGUUAGAAACAGUGAGUAAUAAUCGUAGUGAGUAAUAAACCUCUACUCAUCCUCCCCACGCACUCGCUCCACGGAGCUCUGGCCUCUCCCGCUCCAGUGUGAGACCCUGCGCUCGCCGUGCCUGAAGUGGCGGCUUCCCCCGGGGAUGGCUGAGCAGCCACAAGCUCCAGAGGGCUCAGAUCCUCCAAAGAGCCUCUGCACCCAAAGGAAGCCCGGCUGGGGUGUAGCUGUGGGGGCUCCAGAGGGCUCAGAUCCUCCAAAGAGCCUCUGCACCCAAAGGAAGCCCGGCUGGGGUGUAGCUGUGGGGGCUCCAGAGGGCUCAGAUCCUCCAAAGAGCCUCUGCACCCAAAGGAAGCCCGGCUGGGGUGUAGCUGUGGGGGCUCCAGAGGGCUCAGAUCCUCCAAAGAGCCUCUACACCCAAAGGAAGCCCAGCUGGGGUGUAGCUGUGCGGGCUCCAGCUGCCUCCUUCCUGCCCAACUGCUCUGGCUCUGGCUGGCACAGGAAUAUUUGGGACCCAAGCUAUUGACACAAGGAGUGGGGCAGGGAAAAGGGCACCCAGCAAACACUGGUGUUAUCUCCAACACCAACGCUCCCAGGCACUGGGUAGUGCUUGGAAAUAGUUAUUGAAUGUUCAGGAUUUAUCAGGGUUUGGAAGGGGAGGUGGAAUUCUUUGGGGGGGGGGAGGAAAAAGUCUUUGGUAUUUCUGGAAAUUA